UCCAGUGGCGAUGCGCUUAAGGGCAACACCCGUACCCAUCCCGAACACGGUGGUUAAGCCUUAAGCGGCCGAUGGUACUAUGCUGGGGACGGCAUGGGAGAGCAGGUGGCUGCUGGAU
rfam:Lachnospiraceae bacterium A2 genomic scaffold acPFL-supercont1.2, whole genome shotgun sequence.